rnacentral:rRNA from 1 species
GACGAACGCUGGCGGCGUGCUUAACACAUGCAAGUCGAACGGUAAGGCCCUUCGGGGUACACGAGUGGCGAACGGGUGAGUAACACGUGGGUGAACUGCCCUGCACUUCGGGAUAAGCCUGGGAAACUGGGUCUAAUACCGGAUAGGACCACUGCCUGCAUGGGUGGUGGUGGAAAGCUUUUGCGGUGUGGGAUGGGCCCGCGGCCUAUCAGCUUGUUGGUGGGGUGAUGGCCUACCAAGGCGACGACGGGUAGCCGGCCGGAGAGGGUGACCGGCCACACUGGGACUGGGAUACGGCCCAGACUCCUACGGGAGGCAGCAGUGGGGAAUAUUGCACAAUGGGCGCAAGCCUGAUGCAGCGACGCCGCGUGAGGGAUGACGGCCUUCGGGUUGUAAACCUCUUUCAGCACCGACGAAGCGUAAGUGACGGUAGGUGCAGAAGAAGGACCGGCCAACUACGUGCCAGCAGCCGCGGUAA